rnacentral:rRNA from 1 species
GAUGAACGUUGGCGGCGUGCCUAAUACAUGCAAGUCGAACGAAGACUGUAGUAAUACUGUCUUAGUGGCGAACGGGUGAGUAACGCGUGGGUGACCUGCCCCGAAGUGUGGGAUAACAGUUCGAAAGGAUUGCUAAUACUGCAUAAUAUCCAAGAGAUUAGACGCUUUUGGAUUAAAGGAGUAAUUCGCUUCGGGAGGGGCCCGCGUCCCAUCAGCUAGUUGGUAAGGUAAUGGCUUACCAAGGCGAUGACGGGUAGGGGACCUGAGAGGGUGGCCCCCCACAAUGGAACUGAAACACGGUCCAUACACCUACGGGUGGCAGCAGUAGGGAAUAUUAGUAAUGGGCGAAAGCCUGAACUAGCAACGCCGCGUGUGCGAAGAAGGCCUUCGGGUUGUAAAGCACUUUUUGAGAGGAUGAGGAAGGACGGUACUCUCAGAAUAAGUCUCGGCUAACUACGUGCCAGCAGCCGCGGUAACACGUAGGAGGCAAACGUUAUCCGGAUUUACUGGGCGUAAAGCGCGUGUAGGUGGUUUGGUAAGUAGGGCGUGAAAGCUCCUGGCUCAACUGGGAGAGGACGUCCUAAACUGCCAAGCUUGAGGAUGGUAGAGGGAGGUGGAAUUCCGGGUGUAGCGGUGGAAUGCGCAGAUAUCCGGAGGAACACCAGUGGCGAAGGCGGCCUCCUGGACCACUCCUGACACUCAGACGCGAAAGCUAGGGUAGCAAACG